AUGUCAGCGGUUGAUUUGGAGAUGUCUCGUCACCGUAUAUCUGUUUUAUUGUCAACCUGUACUGCAUAUGAGCUGCUCCCAGAGUCGGGCAAGGUUAUUGCAUUGGAUGUAAAUUUACCAGUAAAGCAAGCAUUCCACAUACUCUAUGAGCAGGGAAUCCCUUUGGCUCCUCUUUGGGACUUUGGUAAAGGCCAAUUUGU